rnacentral:rRNA from 1 species
AUAGAUCUGCGGCUGAUUAGGUCGUUGGUGGGGUAAUGGCCCACCAAGCCGAUGAUCGGUACGGGUUGUGAGAGCAAGAGCCCGGAGAUGGAACCUGAGACAAGGUUCCAGACCCUACGGGGUGCAGCAGGCGCGAAACCUCCGCAAUGUACGGAAGUGCGACGGGGGGAUCCCAAGUGUUAUGCUUUUUUGUAUAACUUUUCAUUAGCGUAAAAAGCUUUUAGAAUAAGAGCUGGGCAAGACCGGUGCCAGCCGCCGCGGUAACACCGGCAGCUCGAGUGGUAGCUGUUUUUAUUGGGCCUAAAGCGUUCGUAGCCGGUUUGAUAAGUCUUUGGUGAAAGCUUGUAGCUUAACUAUAAGAAUUGCUGGAGAUACUAUUAGACUUGAAGUCGGGAGAGGUUAGAGGUACUACCGGGGUAGGGGUGAAAUCCUAUAAUCCUGGGAGGACCACCUGUGGCGAAGGCGUCUAACUGGAACGAUCUUGACGGUGAGUAACGAAAGCCAGGGGCGCGAACCGGAUUAGAUACCCGGGUAGUCCUGGCCGUAAACGAUGUGGACUUGGUGUUGGAAUGGCUUCGAGUUGUUCCGGUGCCGAAGGGAAGCUGUUAAGUCCACCGCCUGGGAAGUACGGUCGCAAGACUGAAACUUAA